rnacentral:lncRNA from 1 species
ACGAAUAUUCCCGCGCGCUUCUGUCGGCCUAAACAGGGACAGAACGCUGACUCACUGUCCGUCAGUCUGAAGACAACCUGCCUCAGCACAACCUUAUUCCAUGUAGACUGCAUUAUCUAGGCUACACAGCUCCAAGUCCGAACAUGGGGAAGAAACGAAGGAAUUUGAACUACAAGGAGGACAUCAGAUCGUUUUUCAGUCCACCAAAACGCGCAGAAGUGGAUCCUGAAAAGGGAAGUGGAGACGCCCAGGGAGAAGAGUUGAACAACCAGGAUAUCAGAAUAGCCUCCCAGAGCUGCUGUUUGGAUGUGAACUGCCUCCCACCCUCAUAGAUGUUUUGCUUGAGGCUCCAAAGGUUCUCAAUUGAGAAUGAGGAGUUGUCGUCACGGCACAGAGCCCCCCCCGUCGAUCCCCCCCUCGCCGCCAUGAUGAAUGCAGUCCGGCGGCAAUGCACAUCGUUUACGUGUGUUGUUAACGUGGUAGUAGCGGAG